AUGGUUCUGAUCCGCUAUGGUGUCCAGUACCUCAUCGAGCACCCACCCCCACCCAACGCCGAUGGCACAUACCGUGAACUCGACGCCCAUGUCGCCCUUGCCAUGUACGCCACUCUCUCCGAUCAGAUCGUCGACCACGUGAUCGGCGCCACCACCACCUUCGAUCUCUGGACUCGGAUCCGGAACUACUUCCUCGCCAAUCGUGCGGCUCAGUACAUGAUGCUCAAUCGCCAAUACCGUAACCUCAAACAGGGCGAUCUCUCCGUCGACGAGUACACGCGCCGCAUGAAGCUGCUCACCGCGGGUCUUGCUGACAUCGACCACACGGUCACCGAGGUGGAUCUCACCACGCAGUUCCUCCAUGGCAUUGACGGUCGUCUUGACACCAUCCAGGUUGUGCUUGGCGACACGGUUCCCAUGCCCCCGUUCGAGAACGUCUUCUCGCGU
rnacentral:rRNA from 1 species